rnacentral:snoRNA from 1 species
CCCCUCUCAGGGUCACACCUGGAGAGUGUCCAGUCCUCUACCAGUCUCGGCUACGGGAGGGAGAGUCAAGCAGAGGCUUAUUCAUUCCAUUCUUAGUUUGGACAGUGGCUAGCUAGUGGAAGGCAAUCUGCUACAGAU